rnacentral:rRNA from 1 species
GACGAACGCUGGCGGCGUGCUUAACACAUGCAAGUCGAACGGAAAGGCCCUGCUUUUGUGGGGUGCUCGAGUGGCGAACGGGUGAGUAACACGUGAGUAACCUGCCCUUGACUUUGGGAUAACUUCAGGAAACUGGGGCUAAUACCGGAUCGGAGCUCCUGCUGCAUGGUGGGGGUUGGAAAGUUUCGGCGGUUGGGGAUGGACUCGCGGCUUAUCAGCUUGUUGGUGGGGUAGUGGCUUACCAAGGGUUUGACGGGUAGCCGGCCUGAGAGGGUGACCGGCCACAUUGGGACUGAGAUACGGCCCAGACUCCUACGGGAGGCAGCAGUGGGGAAUAUUGCACAAUGGGCGGAAGCCUGAUGCAGCAACGCCGCGUGCGGGAUGACGGCCUUCGGGUUGUAAACCGCUUUCGCCUGUGACGAAGCGUGAGUGACGGUAAUGGGUAAAGAAGCACCGGCUAACUACGUG